UGAACGACUCUCGGCAACGGAUAUCUCGGCUCUCGCAUCGAUGAAGAACGUAGCGAAAUGCGAUACUUGGUGUGAAUUGCAGAAUCCCGCGAACCAUCGAGUCUUUGAACGCAAGUUGCGCCCGAAGCCAUUAGGUCGAGGGCACGUCUGCCUGGGCGUCUCAC
rnacentral:rRNA from 3 species